UAAAAAAUGAAAGACAGUCAUGGUAAC
rnacentral:piRNA from 1 species